GUUUUGCUCCAAGGACCAAUCUAGGAGUGUGAUGAAUCAUAAUAAUCGAACGAAUCGCCUGUUGUGCGAUAAAUCAUUCAAGUUUCUGCCCUAUCAGCUUUGGAUGGUAGUGUAUUGGACUACCAUGGCAGUCACGGGUAACGGAGAAUUAGGGUUCGAUUCCGGAGAGGGAGCCUGAGAAACGGCUACCACAUCUACGGAAGGCAGCAGGAGCGAAAAUUGCCCAAUCCCGACACGGGGAGGCAGUGACGAGAAAUAACAACUCUUGGUUAUUCUAAGAAGUGUAAUGAGGAUAAUUUAAAACCCUUACCGAAAGCAAUUGGAGGGCAAGUCUGGUGCCAGCAGCCGCGGUAAUUCCAGCUCCAAUAGCGUAUAUUAAAGUUGUUGCAGUUAGAAAGCUCGUAGUUGAAGUUCUGGCUGAUUGACCCUCGAGCUUCGUAGCCGAGGGCUCGUCAGUCAUCCGCUUGCAAAUAUAUGUUCGCCUUUAACCGGGCGGCUAUAUGAGUAAGCAAUUUACCUUGAGAAAAACAGAGUGUUCCAGGCAGGUUUGUCCGGAAUGCAUUAGCAUGGAAUAAUAGAAUAUGACUGAAGUCGAUUUAUUGGUUUUGAGGCUUUAGUAAUGAUUAAUAGGAACAGUCGGGGGCAUUGGUACUUGACAGUCAGAGGUGAAAUUCUAGGAUUUGUCAAAGACUAACAAAUGCGAAAGCAUUUGCCAAGGAUGUUUUCAUUAAUCAAGAACGAAAGUUAGGGGAUCAAAGACGAUCAGAUACCGUCCUAGUCUUAACUAUAAACUAUACCGACUCGGAUUCAGAUGAAUCAUAAAGUUCAUUUGGGACCGUAGGAGAAAUCAAAGUUUUUGGGUUCUGGGGGAAGUAUGGUCGCAAGGCUGAAACUUAAAGGAAUUGACGGUUUUGCACCACCAUGGAGUGGAGUCUGCGGCUUAAUUUGACCCAACACUGGGAAACUCAUCAGGGCAAGAAGAUUGUAGGAUUGACAGAUUGAGAGUUCUUUCUUGAUUGGUCUAGUGGUGGUGCAUGGCCGUUCUUAGUUGGUGGAGUGAUUUGUCUGGUUAAUUCCGUUAACGAACGAGACCUUAACCUGCUAACUAGUACACCGAUGACAAAUCGGCGAUACUUCUUAGAGGGACUAUGUGAUGUAAUCACAUGGAAGUUCGAGGCAAUAACAGGUCUGUGAUGCCCUUAGAUGUCCUGAGCUGCACGCGUACUACAAUGGUGCUUUCAACGAGCUUUUCCUGAUCCGAAAGGAUUUGGGUAAUCUUUUUAGUGAGCACCGUGCUUGGGAUUGAUCUUUGUAAUUAUGGAUCAUGAACUAGGAAUUCCUAGUAAGCACGUGUCAUCAGCA
rnacentral:rRNA from 1 species